GGGGAAUAUUGGACAAUGGGGGGAACCCUGAUCCAGCCAUGCCGCGUGUGUGAAGAAGGCCUUAUGGUUGUAAAGCACUUUAAGCGAGGAGGAGGCCCUUUUGGUUAAUACCCAAAAUGCGUUGACGUUCCUCGCAGAAUAAGCACAGUCUAACUCUGUGCCAGCAGCCGCGGUAAUACAGAGGGUGCGAGCGUUAAUCGGAUUUACUGGGCGUAAAGCGUGCGUAGGCGGCUUUUUAAGUCGGAUGUGAAAUCCCCGAGCUUAACUUGGGAAUUGCAUUCGAUACUGGGAAGCUAGUGUAUGGGAGAGGAUGGUAGAAUUCCAGGUGUAGCGGUGAAAUGCGUAGAGAUCUGGAGGAAUACCGGUGGCGAAGGCGGCUUGCUGGACAAAUACUGACGCUGAGGUGCGAAAGCGUGGGGAGCAAACA
rnacentral:rRNA from 1 species